AUGCAGACAUUCGGUUUGUACCUUUUAUUAUUUCUCUAAACUUUAAUUCGUCUACUGAAGCAACAGAUUAAACAAACAACUGAUGUUGCCUCGAAUAAUUCUCGAUGUCGCACGCUACUGU
rnacentral:lncRNA from 1 species